rnacentral:lncRNA from 1 species
CAGGGCUGGAUCCAUAUAUUUUGGGAGAGUAAUCAUUGAUACAGAACCUGAAAGCCAAGAGUCCAGGGUACAGAGUAAGGCGUGGAGGUGGGAUGGAUCAGGACAGGACUAGCAGCUGUUCAGGCUGCCUCUGGCAUUUGCCUCCCAGGCGGUCCGCUCUGUUUCUUGUGAUUUGUCAGCCUACGUGCAGACAUUCAUUCAUUCCUCCCACACACACCUACAGCACACCUACUCUGUUCUCUUCGCCGGCACUAGGGAUACAGGGGUGGGCAAGGCAUUCAAAAUCCCGGCCCCACGGAGCACCCACAGUUGAGAGGGAGAAGGACAGACACAAAGCCCAUAAACUGAUGGAUCUGCUAUGUCACUUCAGGAAUCAGGUGCUUCUUAAAGAAAAAUAGGACAGCUUCAGCAGCUCGAGAGUGAUGGAGGGGGCUUGGUUAGAUCGUGUAAACAUGGAAGGCUGCUCUGGGACAGUGAUGUUGGAGCAGAGAUCUGAGAAGUGAGGAGCUGGCUAGGCGUGGAUCCCCCACACCCUAAGGGAAGAAACCCAUCAGGGCUGGUGGCUGUGCGGCGCAGCAGGAAAGGGCCAUUGCAGGCCAGCCACCAGAAGGCAGGAGGCAGUGAGGGUGAUGCUGCUUGAGAAAAGCAAGAGCCCUGCUCUCAGAAAGGUAAGGGAAGCCUGUGGAGAGAGCAGAGUUCUCUAAAGAAUUGUCUUUUUGGAUUGCUGUAAUCUGAUACAGGUGGAUAUGUAUGUAGGUUUGGUUUCCAGUCUUUACAGGAAUUUGCUUUUUGGUGCAAAGGAAGAAAUUGGACGCAGACAACCUUGCUGUUUGGAGAAAGUCCUUUGGAAGCUGGUUGAAUAUAAAAACCACUGCUUUCUAUUCUCAGAACUCUGGUCCUGCCCACUGUCGGGCAGGCGCUGGCCCUGGGAGAGCAGAGAACUUUGGGUCUAAUUGGCCCAUGGUACAGCCACUUUGACCAUUGCCUGGAAAACUCCCCGGCUCUGUCUAGUUAACAGCGGCUCCGUUGCUAAUAAAUCUUUUGCAGUCUUCUGCCGUGGUUGGGUUUUGAUGACGCAUUUGCAUGUCGAGAUCAUUUGGGUUUUGGAGUUUCGGUCUCCUGCUGUUCCUAAUGUCAUAAACGGAUGGUAAUAACCCGGGAGGGGAUUAUGUUCCAGGGUUGCAAGGAGAUGAGCUUUACAAACAUCCAUCUUAUUUGCAGGCAAAUAUGGCUAAUGACAGACUAGGGAAAACAAAAUAAUUCAAAAUCUGCAGUGAAUGCUUGGUUAUUUCCAAAGGGCCUGCUUUUUAAUGAGGUUCAGUAGAGAAUGAAGGAUAAGAGGGGGAAAGUAGUAACAGCAUCCCAGGAGUCUCUUGGGGGCUUGGGGGCUUUUUAAUAAUAAAAAUAGGAGUUCCCAUUGUGGCUCAGAGGGUUAAGGACCUGACAUAGCCUCCACGAGGAUGAAGGCUCAAUCCCUGGCCUUGCUCAGCGGGUUAAGACUCCAGUGUUGCCAUAGGCUGCAGUGUAGGUCACAGAUGUAGCUCGGAUCUGGUGUUGCGGUGGCUGUGGUAUAGGCCUGCAGCUGCAGCCCCAAUUUGACCUCUAGCCCAGGAAUUUCCAUAUGCUGCAGAUACAGCCCUAAAAGAAAAAGGAAAAGGAAAAAUAGGAGUUCCUGCUGUGGUGCAAUGGGAUUGAUGGCAUCUUAGGAGCGCUGGGUCGUAGGUUCAAUCCCUGGCCCAGCACAGUGGGUUAAAAAUCCAGUGUUGCCGCAGCUGUGGCUUAGGUCGUGACUGCGGCUCUGAUCUGAUCCCUGGCCCAGGAACUCCGUAUGCUGUGGGGUGGACAAAAAUAAAAUAGAUAGAUAGAUAGAUAGAGAGAUAGAUAGAUAGAUAGAUAAAAGCAGGUUCACUGAGGCAAAGGAGCCAUGUUGGAAAGCCCCCCUCCCCUUGUGGGGCUGGGGCUUCACUGAGGGAAGCAAACUCCUAGCAGUGGUUCUGCAGCAGGGGCCACUUUUCCCCAACCAUUUUUGGUUGUCACUGGUGGUGCUGGGGGCCUCUAGUGAGUAGCUGCUGGGGAGGCUGCUAAAUAUCCAGUGACACACAGGACAGCCCCACAACAAAGGAUCGUCCUGCCCAAAUGUCCACGGUGCUGAGGCCAAGAGCACGACCACCCACCUGCCUCUCCCUGUUGCAUGUUGUCCAACCUUCAGCUGUGAAGUGGCUCUGCCGCCCUUUCCUAGGAGUUAACGUCAUCUCCAAGUGAAGGCCUGGAAGGGGCCUUGGAAAUGACCUAAUACUAAUCUGUGUGGUGCCCGGAGGACUUUGGAUGGAUUAAGUGACUUUCUAUGUUCCCAUGGCUUUUGAGCAACAGAAGUAGGAUGAAUGAACUGAAGAUCCUUUUCCUCCUCAAGGAGCUUUUGCAAAAGGAGUUUUUGCCAGUUUGUUAUAUUCUAUUCUUGGAUUCUCACUUCACUCAUUCCUGCAGUAACCGUUUGCUGAGUGUCUGCUAUGUUCUUGGCACUUUGCUACCAUCUGUCCCCUGAGUGACAGUCUUCCGACUGCCUAAAAGGGGCAGUGCAAUCAUGGUGAUGAGAAUAUACUGUUGAGAACAACUAUUGAGGGUUUAUGCUGGGCCAGGACUAUACUAAACCCUUUAAUAAAUAUCCUUUGUUUAUCUCAUUAAAUUUGCCUCACAACCCAGCAAGCAUGUGCUAUUAUUAUCCCCCUUAAGAGGGGGUGGACUGGGACUCAGGUCACUUAGCGGGUGUUGGGGUCAGAAUUUGAGCCUAGUUCUACUGAAUUCCAGAGCUAGAACCCCUAGCCACUGAGCUCUCAUCUUUUUCUACAUGGUGAUGAGAAAUUAAAUUGUUGCUAUAGUCAGGAGACUUGAUUUUAGAGUUUUGACCAAAACUCAAGGAGAAGAUGUAGGUAUAUUCUUCUGGAUUGUAUCACCCAGACUUUCAGUGGAGUUUUUGUUCAUUUUCUGGUUGCUGUUGUCUUUGGAUUUUCCAGGCAUAUGGGGAUUUUUAUUUAACUUCCAUAUAUACCCGUUUUUGUGAGUAUUUACUGUAUUAGGGAAGUGGCCAAAUACUGGGGAUUCCAUGAGCAAAAUACCUGUUUUAGUUUGGGUUCCCCUAAGAACCGACCUUGAGACAAGGCUUUGGGUACAGAAAUCAUGGGGAGGAGUGGGGAGGUGAGAGAGGAAGGGAGGAAGGUUGACAGAGGGUUGUGCCAGUGUGGUGACUGCCGUGACAGCAGGCCCUUGGAAGUCCCUCUGUGGGCCUCUAAGAGACUGUGCAAAACACAUGCAGAAUGGCUGAUGGACACUGGGUUCUUUAGCCACCAGCUGCCACUCUUAUUCCUUCAUUGGGUGCAGGAUGCUUCUGGGGACAUCAACUCCCUGGCACUUUCCUCAGGCAGGGAGCCAGGAGACCCCUAGAGCAAGUUGGGGAACUGAGGUGAUCUCCAGGGAGGUGGGCCAGGGGCUGUGACCACAACAUGUGCUACAGUGUAAUUUCUGCCCUCAAGGAACUCAUCCUGCUGUGAGCAGGGGAGUCAGUAGAAUUCAUGGUACAGUAGGACAAUGGGAAGGUGUAUAAAGAAUGGAGAACAGCAAAGAAGAGAAGAUGACUCCAUGGGGGGAAAUCAGGAAAGCCUUUCCAGAGGGUGUGACAUUGAAGGGCUAAGAACACAUUAAAGGUAGUUCCCUAUCAUCAAUGUCUUCCUUAUCCCUAUGCCUGGGGCACAGUGAAGUGGUGCCAUGUCAAGGGUUGUCUGGCUUUUGCUGUUUGAAGCUUUCAUUUUCCUUGUCUCCUGCCCCGUCAUGCCAGGAUGCUCUUGUGGUCAGCAUCAGGACCAUGAGCCUGACACUAGCAACAUCGAGAGCCUCUAAGCCAUUGUCCUUGAAGUUGUGUAGAAAGAGGCUGGUGCCAGCUCCACUUCCUUCCAUAUCUGCUGGAGCCGGCCCUUCUUGAAAUCCAGAUGGCAGUUGUUACUGGUGUGAAAUCCUGGACGGUGGUCAACUUUGAUGAGCUCACCUUUGCUGAUGGCCAUCUCGAAGGCAGGGACCCAUGGCCUACACUAAUGCUUCUCAGAGCAAAAUUCGAGAAGCAAAAAGUCUGCCUGCAAUUCAUGGGGAGAGCUUGUUAAAACACAGAUUCCUGGGCUGCUGGAGGCUCUGAGUCCAUAUUUGGUGGGAUCUAGUCAGAGACUUUGCAUUUAACAGCCUCCACCGUUGCUGACACUGCUGGCCUGCUGUCCACACUUGGAAUAACCAUCUCUGGUCUCUAGCCACUGGAUGCCGGUAGCAUUUCUCAGUAGUGACAACCCAAAAUGUCUUCCAGCAUUGCCAAAAGACCCCUGGAAGGCAAAGUCUCCCCAGCUUGAGAGCCACUGGCCAAGAUGUUCUUAUUGCUCCUCAGACUUCUGUGUACCUACCAGUUCCUGGGGGAUCUUGCUAAAAUGCACAUUCUAAUUCAGUAGGUCUGGGAAGCAGCCUGGGUCUGGGUUUCUUUGGAGCUCCGAGGUAAUGCGGAUACUGCUGGUUGGGGACCACACUCUGAGUAACAGUGGUCCCCACUGCGGGAAGCAGAGAGCCUUGAUUGGACCCAGAGCCUCAAAGGUAUCGCUACAAUUGCUUGUAAUUUUGAUCAGUUUCUCUAGUUUGCUUUUAUUUCCCCAGGUUGAUUAAAGCUGUAGCUGCUGCUUCCCCUCCCCCACCAAUCCCCCCCCACCCCCGUCACUGAGGAGGGGGAGGUUGGGGGAUGGGGAGUGGAAGGGGGCAGGGGUGGGGCUCCUAUCUGCUUGUACAGGGAGAAGUUAGCCUUCCUCUGAAUAGCAGCUGAUCUGAGUUUGCCUUUGAUAUGUACAAGAUCUCACUAGGGAUUCUUGGUCCCCCAAAAGGCUACUCUGCACUUUUGAGUCUUUCAUUUUUUUUUAACCUGAGUUUUAAAGGGGGAAAAUAGGAGGAGGGACCCUUCCUUAUGGAAGGUAAGAAACCCAGGUGUGCCAAGCUGAAAUUCCAGAAGAUUCAAGGAGAUAGUCUCUGGGGACUAGGGCUUAGGGCAUGCUUGUCAGAGCCAAGAAGCAGCUGCAGUUAUGGAGCAAGGAAGGCCUAAGCCUGAUGGGGCUGAGAGGUGGGGGGAGCCGCACCUUCCUCUACUGCUGAACCCAGGAGUUAUUCUGGCCAUGAACAAAGGUAGAUAUCUAGAAAUGCUGUCACCUUGUCUGUUGUUAUUUUUAGCCAUUGUCUAUUUCCUACUAUUGGAAACGGUAAAAAUUCCUAGGAGACCUUUCCUCCACGCUUUAGUGAGAAGGUUGGAGAGCGUGUGGGGAAAGAAAAGUGGCUGUGAGACCAGGAAAGUCACCCAAAUCAACGGAUCCUAUUGUGGGGAAAGCAGAAGGACAGCAGGGAACUGCCAUCCUGGUCUUUACAUAGGGGUGGUGGGGGUCCCCACUGGGCUAUCUCAAGUGUCCUGAGCAGCUCUCAUCUGUGGUGGCUGGUUCUGUGUUUCCUUUAGUACCUACUGUGUGGGGGCUGGGGAAAGGGUUCUCCCCAUGCAUGUAUUCACAUUUCUAUGGGACAAAUGCAUUCCUAGCUCUGAAGGGCAAAUGGCUGCACCAGGAACUCCCUCUGGCUAAGCUUGGGUUGUUAUGUUAGAUGAGCCAUACCUAGACAAUGGGAUGUGACCCUUGGAUUUCCAGCAGAAAGGCUGUGUGCCUUAGCCUGUUGAGGGAGGGUUUGUGUGGGUUAGAGAGGAGGGGAUUUGUCAGUGCUAUGGAUUGAAUUUUUGUGUCUCCCACUCCCAACUCAUGUACUAAAGCUCUAAUCCCUAUUGUGAUGGUAUUCAAGGUGAGGCCUUUGGGAGGUAAUUAGGUCACAAGGGUGGAGCCAUCAGGAAGGGAUUAGUGCCCUUAAAAGAAGAGAGCUUUCUCUCUCUUUCUCCCCUCUCCCCCUCCCUUUCUCUCUCCCACAUGAAGACAUAACCAGGAGGAGAAUCCUCACCAGGAACCGAAUGGGCUGGCAUCUUGACCUUGAAAUUCCCAGCCUGCAGAGCUGUGAGAGAUAAGUUCCUAUUGUAGAAGUCUCCCAGUCUAUGGAAUUCUGUUCUAGCAGCCUAAGCUGACUAAAAGAGUCCAGAAGACAACUUAGACCAAUAGGUUUCCAAAUUGUCUGUGAAAUGACAGAUGCUCUUCAGUGCUGGAGUUUCAGUCUGGUGAGACAUGAGGAAAACAAGAUCUAUGAACUUUUCUUAAAGCUAAAUAUUUUCAUUUUAAAACAGAGCUUUAUGCUAUACUACUUUGGAAGAGGUAAAAUUGUCUUGUCGUGAAUUGUUAAGGUAUUUCUCAAUGAUAUUUAGUUAGUUGCUUGGUUUCUCUAUUGACAAAAAAAGUUAGAAAUAUUUUAGUUCCAAAAAUAAUUUGUAAAAUUUUUAUUGGACUGUGAAACCUAGAUGUCUAGAAGCCAUUGAAUUGGGGAAUUAUACAAGUGAAGAUGAGCUACCAUAGCAGUCUGGACCAGGGUGGUGGCCAUGGGAGGAGGGGUGGGACAGAAGCAGGUCAUAAGACUGAAUUUUGUGGCUGACUGGAGGUGUCUGAAUUAGGGAAACUUAGAGAGUGAUGAUGGGACCCUUUAGAGCAGUGUGGAUGCUGGACAAGGAAGGACCUAGGGAUAGAUGAAACAUUUGGGAGUCAUUGUCAUAAGAGAUUAGUGGCUACAGUUUGUUGAGGGCACUGUGCUGUGAACUUUAUUUCCUUUAUUUCAUUUAUUCAGUGCAACAGCUCUUCAUUGCCUCAAUUUGACAGAUGAGGGCAGAGAGGAGUCAAGUAAUACUGCCUUCUGUCAGAGCUGAGAAGUGUGAAGGGUUCAAAUUUGGGACUUUGGGAGGCUAAAGCCCAAGAAGAUUCCAAAUCACAGUUCUGUGUUGCACUACCAUCUAUAAGAGACCCUUCAUCUAUAAGAGACCAUUUAUAUGAGAUCCUCCAUUUAUAUGAGACCCUCCAUAUAUGUGAGACCUUCCAUCUGUGGGAGACCCUCGAUCUGUGGGAGACCCUCCACCUAUGUGAGAAUCAUCUUAAUUGUGGUAAUGGUUUCAGGGAUACAUACAUAUGUUAAAAGUAAUCAUUUAAAAAUUAUAUGCUUAAAUAUGUGAAGUUUAUUGUCUAUCAGCUCUACUUCAAUAAACCUUUUUAUAAAAACGCAAACACAUGUGUAUUGAAGGUUGGAGUCCCUGGGAGGCUAACUUUGAGUGGUAACAGCACGGAGAAGACUCCCUGGGGGAGAGGUUGCUCAUGAUCAGACCCUGUGGGGGCAAGGUAGAAAGUGGGCCUGCCUGAGGGAGAGACUGGGCUGAAGUGAGAGCUCAGCCAAGGACUCAGGCAACUCCUGGAUCUCUGAACUACCAUGGAGUCAAGAGCCAGGCAUUGCUUUCCCACAUUGGAAGCAGCUGCAGAUGGCCAUUUCCUAGAGUACAAGCUACUGUGCUGGUGGCCCCUCCUGAAGCUGGGGUUUCAGCCCUGCAUCAUAGCACUCCUUGUAGUCUGGGAACUUUAAUCUUAUUUUUGCUUUUAAAUUAUGUAAAGGGAAAAUUAGAUCGGGUCCUACUUUAUUAAAUAACUCUUUUUUAUUUUUAAAGAUAUUGAUGAUGUCAAAAAAAAUUUAGUCCUGCCAGACUGUUUGAGGGGAAGUGAGGUGCGUAAGAUGGUGGUCUCUGGUUACAAAGCCCCCCUCCCUUGAACUAACAAAGGAAAAGGGCUGGCUCUCUUGUCUCAUGUGGGAGUCAUGCUUAUCAGAGCAUUGUUUUCUUAUUAAAAUGACUUUAUGGGAGUUCCGUAAUGGAAACAAAUCCAACUAGGAACCAUGAGGUUGCGGGUUUGAUCCCUGGGUUAAGGAUCUGGUGUUGCCAUGAGUGGUGGUGUAGGUCACAGACAUGGCUCAGAAUUGGCAUUGCUAUGGCUGUGGCAUAGGCCGGCAGCUACAGCUCUGAUUCCACCCCUAUCCUGGGAACCUCCAUGUGUUGAGGGUGCGGCCCUAAAAAGACAAAAAGA